rnacentral:rRNA from 1 species
UUUUUAUUGAGAGUUUGAUCCUGGCUCAGGACGAACGCUGGCGGCGUGCCUAACACAUGCAAGUCGAGCGAUGAAGCUUCUUCGGAAGUGGAUUAGCGGCGGACGGGUG